GCAGGUGUUUGAGAGCUAGAUGAAGAUCCAGCCAAACUAGACUACAUGGAGCUCCACAGUGAUCGUCUUCACCUCCAGCUGUUUGCAUUUACUUCUAUCAACCUAUGAAUUGCCUCUACCAAAAAGCCUACAAUAUUGACACAAACCUGGGCUAGUAUCCGUUCUAUGUCUUCCAAUAAGUGCUGUCUUACACUUGUCAUUGUAUGUAUGACUCUGUAUGGGAAUUGCCUGUUUGUUUUUUCAGAUUAUAGCAUACAGUUGUUGAGGG
rnacentral:lncRNA from 1 species